AAAAAAGAAAAAAUUAAAUGAAGCAAAAGAUAGAAAGAAUAAAAAACAAAAAGAAAAGAAAGAAAAGUUCAGAUCGGUGCUCGUUCGUAAUAUCGUUUUAAACAAUUCUAUAUAUUUCUUCUGUUUUCAUUACGAUCAUUUGCGUUCAAUUUCGUUUGCCCGCUUGAUAUUUUUCCGUUUCAUCGAUGGGACCAUGGAGUGGACGCGUGCGAGAGAGGAAGAGUGAGAGAGAGAGAGAGAGAGAGAGAAAGAGAGAGAGAGAGAGAAAGAGAGAAAGAGAAAGAGAGCAGAUCACCGUACGUUCUUUUACGUAAACAUUGUUGGAAAAGUUAGGGCGUAGUAGGAAAAAGGGAAGUGCCGAUAGAUCGGACAGACAAAGGGUCACGAAAAAGUCUCGGCAAAAAAUGCCAUUAUCGUUAUAGUAUUUCUUGCUAAGAAUUUCUCGCCGCAAGACGUGAUGUAUAUAAAAUAUGCAAUACAACAUACAUGCAUACAUACAUACAUAGAUACAUACACAGAUACAUACAUAGAUACGUAUAUAUGUACAUACAUACAUACAUACAUACAUACAUAGAUAUACAUACAUAAACAUACACAUACAAAAACAAAUACGUUAUAUAUAUAUAUAUAUAUAUAUAUAUAUAUGUAUGUAUGUGUAUAUAUAUAUGUACGCUUGCACAUUACAUACAAAGAGACAUAUACACAUUUAAGAAGUAAGAAGUUAUUCGUUAAAAAUAGAACUUUCACGUUAAUAUCGUAAAUGAAAAAUAUCGAAACUCCAGCCAAUACGUACCAAAACUAAUGAAGAAGAAGAGUAGCGUAAAAAAAUAAGAUCACGAAUUCGAUGGACGAUCAAAAAACGCUACGUAAACGAUUAAGUGUAUGUAUGUUAAUCGCGAAUGAAAUGCAUAAUCGCAAGUGAAACGACGAGUCAUGUGAAUGUUUGACUUUUUCCUGUGCAUAUAUAGUAUCCGAUAUCCUUUACGAAAGGAAAGGGGAGAUGAGAAAAAAGGAGGUUGAAAAAGAAAAAAAAAAAAGAAAACCUGUAGAUCAUCUUACAUCGUUGUAAUCGUUCUAAUAAAAUAAUUGCAGAUCAUGACGAUCGCUCUGAAAA